GGGCCUAUAGCUCAGCGGUUUAGAGCGCUCGCUUCACACGCGAGAGGUCGUAAGUUCGAUCCUUACUAGGCCCA
rnacentral:tRNA from 1 species